GUGAAUUGAAACUUAGUGGCGGACUGGUGAGUAACGCGUGAGGAACCUGCCUUUCAGAGGGGGACAACAGUUGGAAACGAACGCUAAUACCGCAUAAUGUAUUUUGAUCGCAUGUUCGAAAUCCAAAGAUUUAUUGCUGAUAGAUGGGCUCGCGUCUGAUUAGGUAGUUGGGUGAGGUAACGGCUCACCAAGCCGACGAUCAGUAGCCGGACUGAGAGGUUGAACGGCCACAUUGGAACUGAGAAACGGUCCAGACUCCUACGGGAGGCAGCAGUGGGGAAUAUUGGGCAAUGGGCGAAAGCCUGACCCAGCGACGCCGCGUGAGGGAAGACGGUCUUCGGAUUGUAAACCUCUUUCAGCAGGGAAGACAAAAGGACGGUACCUGCAGAAGAAGCCACGGCUAACUACGUG
rnacentral:rRNA from 1 species